rnacentral:rRNA from 1 species
AGAUUGAACGCUGGCGGCAGGCCUAACACAUGCAAGUCGAGCGGCAGCACGGGUACUUGUACCUGGUGGCGAGCGGCGGACGGGUGAGUAAUGCCUAGGAAUCUGCCUGGUAGUGGGGGAUAACGCUCGGAAACGGACGCUAAUACCGCAUACGUCCUACGGGAGAAAGCAGGGGACCUUCGGGCCUUGCGCUAUCAGAUGAGCCUUAGGUCGGAUUAGCUAGUUGGUGAGGUAAUGGCUCACCAAGGCGACGAUCCGUAACUGGUCUGAGAGGAUGAUCAGUCACACUGGAACUGAGACACGGUCCAGACUCCUACGGGAGCAGCAGUGGGAAUAUUGGACAAUGGGCGAAAGCCUGAUCCAGCCAUGCCGCGUGUGUGAAGAAAGUCUACGGAUUGUAAAGCACGUUUAAGGUGGAGAAGGCAGUUACUAAUACGUAUUC